GUUACAAACGAUACCUGUUCUUCAUGUCCUUUUUCUUUUUCUGUUUUACUAAUUUUGGAAAAAAAAACAAAAUGCUCCGCAGCUGAUACGCCGGGUGUGGAUUUCAAGAAAUUCACGAGGAGGAAAACGUCGGCGAAUGCAGCAGUGGACAGCUCUGCUUCUAUACAAGGUGAUUAUGAGUGCUUUGGAUCAUUGUUGAGAGAGAGGAAGUGAGAUGAUUUAAUAAUCUGAAACAUCGUUACGCAACUAUACAGAGGGAUUACGUUUUUGUACAUACUACAACAAUUUCCAUCUUUACUAGGAUCUUGUUAAUUAUUAAUUAUUAAUAAUUAAUUGUAUGACAUAUAUGUAUAUAUAUUAUAUAAGUAAGUAAAUAUGAGAGUCGUCUACAUAAAAUAAAAAAGGCUCAGCUGAUCAUGCAGGAUAUUUUUGUAAAUAUGAUUACUGUUCUUUUGUUUUUGUACUUGAAGCUUUUGGCUGUUGUAUAUAUAUAGAUAGAUUAUGUACCUUUGUCAUCUCUAUCAAUGUAACUCAAUUAAGCUUCGAAGUA